rnacentral:rRNA from 1 species
AACGAACGCUGGCGGCAGGCCUAACACAUGCAAGUCGAGCGCUGUAGCAAUACAGAGCGGCAGACGGGUGAGUAACGCGUGGGAAUCUUCCCAAUGGUACGGAAUAGCUCAGGGAAACUUGGGGUAAUACCGUAUAAGCCCGAAAGGGGAAAGAUUUAUCGCCAUUGGAUGAGCCCGCGUCUGAUUAGCUAGUUGGUGAGGUAAUGGCUCACCAAGGCGACGAUCAGAGCUGGUCUGAGAGGAUGACCAGCCACACUGGGACUGAGACACGGCCAGACUCCUACGGGAGGCAGCAGUGGGGAAUAUUGGACAAUGGGCGAAAGCCUGAUCCAGCCAUGCCGCGUGAGUGACGAAGGUCUUCGG